GGAACACCGGUGCGAAUCCGGGGCUGUCCCGCAACUGUGACCGGUCGGCGCCCGCUCAGCGGGGCCGCCGGGAGCCAGGAAC
rnacentral:ncRNA from 22 species